rnacentral:sRNA from 1 species
AAGGGAAAAUAGGUGGAAAUUCAAAAAUCAAGUGAAAAAAGGUGGUGAGUCAAUUGUUUCGGGUAAGAGACUGCACCCGAGGGCGGAAGAUAGGAGUAUUUCUACUCCUAAAACUGCUCAGGACAGUUUGUAAAUAGUCGAGUAGAACGAGAACUAAGCUCGGAACUACAUUAUAGAAAGUAA